GACCCUAGAGCGGCGCACGGGUGAGUAACGCGUACGCAAUCUGCCCUUCAGUGAGGAAUAGCCCUGGGAAACUGGGAUUAAUACCUCAUAACAUUGUUUGAUCGCAUGGUCGGACAAUUAAAGUUCUGGCGCUGAAGGAUGAGCGUGCGUCUGAUUAGCUAGUUGGUAGGGUAACGGCCUACCAAGGCUACGAUCAGUAGGGGGCGUGAGAGCGUGACCCCCCACACGGGUACUGAGACACGGACCCGACUCCUACGGGAGGCAGCAGUAAGGAAUAUUGGGCAAUGGAGGCAACUCUGACCCAGCCAUCCCGCGUGAAGGAUUAAGGCCCUAUGGGUUGUAAACUUCUUUUGCUUGGGAAGAAAUCUGGACAUUUAUGUGCAGUUGACGGUACCUUGCGAAUAAGCACCGGCUAACUCCGUGCCAGCAGCCGCGGUAAUACGGAGGGUGCAAGCGUUAUCCGGAAUCGCUGGGUUUAAAGGGUGCGUAGGCGGUUUGAUAAGUCAGAGGUGAAAGCUAGCAGCUUAACUGUUAAAUUGCCUUUGAUACUGUCAGACUUGAAUCAGGUUGAGGUAGGCGGAAUGUGACAUGUAGCGGUGAAAUGCAUAGAUAUGUCAUAGAACACCAAUUGCGUAGGCAGCUUGCUGGGCUUUGAAUUGACGCUGAGGCACGAAAGCGUGGGGAUCAAACAGGAUUAGAUACCCUGGUAGUCCACGCCCUAAACGAUGGUUAACUCGAUAUUUAUUCUUCGGAGUGAGUGUCCAAGCGAAAGCGUUAAGU
rnacentral:rRNA from 1 species